rnacentral:lncRNA from 1 species
AACUGACACAGAAUGGCUUUUGGAAGCUAAAGCUGUUAGAAGGCCAUCUCCAUGCGAUGUUUAGAAUCUGCUUCUAGUGAAGAAGCAGGGGAAGGUGAAGAGAACUCAUUUUCUUAUCUCAAGGACCCUUGACAGCAUCAUCUCUGCUCCCUCUCGGGACUCUUUUUCCCCCACAGUGAAAGGAAGACAUCUUGUAAAUCUGCCCCUUAACUCAGCCCUGCCAGAAGUGACCGAGGUCGGCUCUAGCCGGUCUCCUGUCCUCUCUGUGACUUCGAGGCCGAAGUUGCCUGAGUCGUCCAUUCCUGAAGAGAGGAGGCAGAGCCAACCUCUUGUUCCCGCAGAACUGAUUUGAUAUCGAUUUGAAUAAAGGCAUCUGCUGCCAUUUUAUUAAGCGCCCUAUUUAAUCUCCAUGUCCCUGCUUCCACUUUCUCUUAAUAUCAACUGUCCUUGUCCCCUUUCAAAGUCAGAGUGACUCGGAAUCGCUUCAGGACUCUAUUCAGUGUGGCCUCUCAGAUGUGAGUUAGAACCUGAACCUACACCAGAAUUUCCUCCUUUUCUUUCUGCAGUUAUUUUUUUUCUCCACAAUUUUCUUUUUGAGUAUUUUAAAUACUUAAAAAUGUACGUCAAUCAAAAGAAA